rnacentral:rRNA from 1 species
CCUACGGGAGGCAGCAGUAGGGAAUCUUCCGCAAUGGACGAAAGUCUGACGGAGCAACGCCGCGUGAACGAUGAAGGCCUUCGGGUCGUAAAGUUCUGUUGUUAGGGAAGAACAAGUGUUAGUUGAAUAAGCUGGCACCUUGACGGUACCUAACCAGAAAGCCACGGCUAACUACGUGCCAGCAGCCGCGGUAAUACGUAGGUGGCAAGCGUUGUCCGGAAUUAUUGGGCGUAAAGCGCGCGCAGGCGGUUUCUUAAGUCUGAUGUGAAAGCCCCCGGCUCAACCGGGGAGGGUCAUUGGAAACUGGGAAACUUGAGUGCAGAAGAGGAAAGUGGAAUUCCAAGUGUAGCGGUGAAAUGCGUAGAGAUUUGGAGGAACACCAGUGGCGAAGGCGACUUUCUGGUCUGUAACUGACGCUGAGGCGCGAAAGCGUGGGGAGCAAACAGGAUUAGAUACCCUGGUAGUCCACGCUGUAAACGAUGAGUGCUAAGUGUUAGAGGGUUUCCGCCCUUUAGUGCUGAAGUUAACGCAUUAAGCACUCCGCCUGGGGAGUACGGUCGCAAGACUGAAACUCAAAUGAAUUGACGG